rnacentral:lncRNA from 1 species
AUGGGAAGAUGUGCUGUGUGGUCACCGGCAGCUGAGUGCAGGCUCUUCUUCCUCCUCCGUAGAUGGCCCACCCUCCUCAUUCCUCCAGCAGCUUCAGACCAGACAUCUGUCAGGGAUCCAAAACGCUCCUUCAUGGAGAUUUUCACAGCAGUGACAGGGAAAGUUCAUUCCAGAAUUUUCUUUAAAUUAGGCACUCAAAGGUCAUCUGUAAUUUCAUUCUGUUUUCCCCACUCUUCAGCAGAUGUGCUGUUCUUUAUACACACUACGGAAAGGCCAUUGUGCUUUGAUGCCCCCAACUGCACAUUUGAAUUUUAUAUGAGCUCUGUUGGUGAUCUGAAAAUUAUUCCUAUCAGAGUGUUUAAGUCAGCUCUCUUUGUUCAAAAAAAAAAGAGUGUUGGGUUAGUUGUGGCCUGGCCAAGCUCAGAUCAGCCUAGGUGCCAGUAAUAAUUCAUUCAACCAAUACUCACUGUACUUGUACCACCUGCCGGACACAGGGUAGACAACGUCUCUGUUCUCAUAGAGCUUCCCUGUCUGGUUCAUCCCUCCCCAGCCGUGUCUGCCUCCCUCCUAUUCCUCCCACAAGCUGGCAUGCCCUCACGUCAUGACCUUUGCAUUUAUUGUUCCUUGCAGAGUUCUUUACCCCAGAUAAGGCAAACCUCUUCUCUUCCUUUAAGUCUUUGUUCGACAUUCCCUUCUCAACGAGUCUACCCUGACUGCUUUUUAGAAGAUCACAUCCCACUUCCCCACCUCCACCCCCGGCACCUCCAAGUUCCCUCAUCUGUUCGUACUGCCUUCCUCCAGUAGCGUGCAUCACUCCACAGCAUCCUACGAGUUUACUUAUAUGCUGUGUUUAUUGUCUACUUCUUCCUGCUAGAACAUUCAUCACAUCACAAGAGCAAAGUCCCUGUUUUAUUCACUGAUGGUCCUAAGUACCUGGAACAAUGCCUGGCACAAAGUAGGGCAAUAAAUGCUCAGUGAAUGAAUCGAGGACCUUCCAGGACACUCACAAAUGCACAGCUCAUACAAACCCCAUUCGCCUAAAGGCUCAGGAAGUCGGACCAGCUGGUGUGGCUCUGUCUUAAAGCAGUCUGGGAUGAAGGAGCCUGAAGAUCCAGCCCAAGGUGGAAUUAGAACUGGGGAGGGAACGCCGUUGCCCCCAAGGACUCCCCCAGGGGCCACUGCCCGCUGCUUCCAGGCCACCUCCCCACCUGACUGAGCUGCUUGAGGGCUGAGAACAUAGUCUGCCUUUUUCACCAGUACAUCCUUGAAGACCCAGCCCAGAGCUGCCAAGGAAGUAAAUGUUAGUAACCACAAGGCUGAAGGAAUUUCAGUCAUCACUGAUCAAGCACUGACUAUGCAGCCCACACAAUACUGAGCUCCUUACUCACAUUACUUCUUACAAACCUCAACAUAGACCAAAGAGGUAGGUAUUAUGUUUUUAACCCUGUUUAACAAAUGAGGUUUAGACCAAGUAACUCACCCAAGUUCACACAUACAGUAAUAGAUGGCAAAGGAGAUUGUCAAACACAGGCUUGUCUGACUCCUGAGGGUUAAGAUCUGAAAGUAUAUGUUCUGCCACUGUACUGGGAUGAAAAAGUGGGAGGGGGGAAAAUAAAGAGAGAAGAGAGAGAAUGAGGAAGGGAGAGAGGGAUAGAAGGAGAAAGAAGGAAAGAUGUGGACAGGCCAUAUGCCAGGUGUAGCAAGGAGGUCUAAAAGAGCUGACCAGAGCCAAGGAACUUUCCGUCUUGGCUGGACAUGACUCCACUACAGCCCUGUCCCCCGUCUCCAUACCCAGAGAAAACAGAGAUGAUACACCUGUCCUAGAAGAGACUUCAUUUUAAUUCUUUUAUAUCCUCUCUCUUUUUGUCUCUCUGAACUUGAAUAAACUGAGGGGUAAGUAUAUCUUAGUGGGAGACAGAUAAUCUAAAAACUGUGUUAGGGAGUAACAGAGAAAUGUACUUCCUCUUCGAGUCUCUAUAAAAGGAAGUCACAGCUACAUUGUUGCUCCUCAUCCAUACAUAUGCAAGCAACGAUGAACAGCAUGAUGAGGCUGGGCUUGGUGAUCUCAGACUUCUGCUUGGAAGACAUCCCUAUAGCUGUUCUCCCAGAUGCCCAGUGCUGACCUUAGCGGUCUUCACUCACUCUGGGCCUCCUCCAACCUGGUCACCCACAGCCCUGGCCUAUACACCUGCCUGCUGUCCCAGGAGCACCUGUGCUCCAGAGAGCACCCCACCCACAAACACUCAGCACCCAGGGUCUCUCAAAGGCUUCCCAGAGGACUUCUCUGCAGAGUUUUAUGGACGAGAAUCCUGGAAACACAGUAGGGCCUCCAGAAAUGCUGCCAGUGUGGCUCCCUUCUCCUAUAGGCACACUAAAAUAGUGUUAGGAAUUCCCAGGGCCAUCUGCUUAGUGGCCUUGAGAAAAUCAAAGUAUAUGUUGAAUAAAUGGAAAGUCUAGUAGGGGUCUCGCAAAUCUACUUGGCCCCAGUGCUGGGGAUAUGUGGGAGGAAACACACUGGCUGGAGGCUAUGGAAAGAACAGAAUUCAAGCCCAAUUCAGUGGAUAUUUACUACGGCCUUCUACAAGGCAGUCUGAUCCUUCCUUGACAACACUCUUGGCUGAGCAGAAGCUGACAAGCAGACGUUUAACAGGGAAAGACAGAGACUUUACAGAAAGGAGAAAGAGAGGGAUGUGGAGGGCAAGGCAGGAGUCAGCUUCAUCCUCACUGCUGUGAGCUAAGCUCUGCUCUGGCAGGGCCACCCCUUCACUCCAGUCUCUUCGCAUAGGUUGGGAACCUGCUUUGUCCUUGCUGGCUAUGCCCUCCUGGUGCCACUUCCCAUGUGGAUUCUUGGGAUCUAGAGGUAUGCAUCUCCUUGUGCCUCCCAAGAGGGAAGUGUGGGUCUGAUCAUGCGUGACUAGAGAGAAUCCAGAAGUGUCACAUGUACCGCGGGAGGCAGAGCUGAUGCCCAGGACCUCUGACUCCAGACAGACCCCACAAAUACAGCAUCCUCUCAAAACACAUCUGUGCCUGAAAUGGCUAAGAGCACACGUUCACUUGCAGCAUGAAGACUAAGCAGAGCGCACUCGAUCAGACAAAGCAGAAAUACACUCAUAUUCAACACGCCUCGUGGUCAACGGCUGGAUGGGAGACUGUUUACUGCAGCUCAGCAAAGACUUUUCCCCUUUGCAGGGAAAGUGGUGUCGCCAAAUGCUUUAUAGUCCAGUAGCCUCUGCUGAGGGGCAGUGGGGAAGGUUGCCUGGACGAGGUGCCCUUAAGAAAAGGCUUGAGGAAUGACAUUAGCCAGAUGGCAAAAUAAGAAGCUCUGGACUUCAUUUCCCCAUAGAGAUGCCAAGUUAACAAUAUAUAGCCCCAAAAGUCUUUAUGAGAACUCCAGGAACCUACUAUGAAGUCACAGUAGCCCGGGCAAGUUCAAACUCAAGAACAGUCACAUUGAAACAGGUGAGGAAAGCCAUUUCACACCAACCACAAUAGCUCCAACCCAGCAAACCUCAGCAAGACUAAGAAGAAUAGCCCAACUAGCAGCUUCUCUCUUGGGAGGAAAGAGAAGAAGGGAGCAUAAGUCCAGGCUUCCAGACUUUCAGAGACCUGCCCAAGAAACUGGUUUCUAUCUUAUUGAAUCUGAAGUGCAAGCAGGGAAUCAGUACACUUUAGAUGCCUCAGAGCCACAGAGAGCAAAAGAGAGCUCAGUGCUUGCUGAAGUACCAGGGAACCUGCAGUGACACAGACAGACACCAGAGGGCGCAAGAAACUAUAAGCUCUUGGAAAAGGAAAUGGCAAACUUCUCUAAGAAAGGAUAUGNNNNNNNNNNNNNNNNNNNNNNNNNNNNNNNNNNNNNNNNNNNNNNNNNNNNNNNNNNNNNNNNNNNNNNNNNNNNNNNNNNNNNNNNNNNNNNNNNNNUGGAAAAGGAAAUGGCAAACUUCUCUAAGAAAGGAUAUGCACAAGCCCAGAGGAGACAUGUCCUUGGAAAAGGUUUGAGUGCUAUAGCCAGACUAACUGAUGGUCUUCCCCUAUAUGAAACCAGUCCAUAAAGAUGAGAAGGAGUAGCUAUUUUUUUCAAAUGAACAAAUCAUAGCAAAAAAUAAACAGGUACAUGGAGAAAUAGGGAAAUACGGUUCAAUCAAGGGUCAAAAUAAAUCUCCAAAAACUGAACUUAAAGAAACGGAGAUCCAUUUUCUACUAACAGAGAAUUCAAAAUAAUCAUGGUAAAGAAGUUCAGUGCACUACAAGAGAACACAGACAACUAAAUGAACUCCGGAAAACAAUGAAUGAAUAACAUCCUAACGUUGGCACAGAAAGUAUUAAAUAAAAUUUUUGUUGUAAAAAGCUAAAGGCUACAAUAAAUCAAUUUAAAAAAUUCACUAGAGGGGUCCAGCAUCAGACUUGAUCAAGCAGAAGAAAUAACCAGUGAACUUAAAAGAUAAGCCAUUUGAAAUUAUCAAGUCAGAGGAACAAAAAAGAAAAAAGAAUAAAAUGAAGAAAACCUAGGGGACUUAGGGGACAUUAUCAACUGGACCAAUAUAUACAUCAUAGGAGUCCCAGAAGGAGAAGAGAGAAAGGGGGCAGACAGCUUAUCUUAAGAAAUAAUGACCAAAAGUUCCCAAAUCUGAGGAAGGAGAUGGACACCUAAAUUCAAGAAGCUCAAAAGAUUCCAGCUAGAAUGAACCCAAAAAAGCCCACACUAAGAUGAUGAUCAAACUGUCAAAAGUCAAAGAAGGAAACAAUCUUGAAAGCAACAACACAAGAAUCAACUUGUUAUGCACAGUGGAGUUCAUAAGGUUAUCAGCAGAUUUCUCAGCCGAAAUGCUGCAGGCCAGAAGGGAAUGCAAGGAUAUAAUUGACAGUGCUAAAAGAAAAAAACUUGCCAACCAAGACAUUUCUGGCAGAACUGUCCUUCAAAAAUGGAAGAGAAAUAAGAACCUUCCCAGAUAAAACAAAGGCUGAAAGAGAUCGUCAUCGCAGCUUUCUAAGAAUUGCUAAAGGGAGCCCUUAAAAUUGAAACGAAAAGGCACUCCACACACACACAUGCAAAAGGACAGUACAAAGCAAUGC